ACCAGACUCCUACGGGAGGCAGCAGUGGGGGAUAUUGCACAAUGGGGGGAACCCUGAUGCAGCGACGCCGCGUGGGUGAAGAAGCGCCUCGGCGCGUAAAGCCCUGUCAGCAGGGAAGAAAAUGACGGUACCUGAAGAAGAAGCCCCGGCUAACUACGUGCCAGCAGCCGCGGUAAUACGUAGGGGGCAAGCGUUAUCCGGAUUUACUGGGUGUAAAGGGGGCGCAGACGGCGAUGCAAGCCAGGAGUGAAAGCCCGGGGCCCAACCCCGGGACUGCUCUUGGAACUGCGUGGCUGGAGUGCAGGAGGGGCAGGCGGAAUUCCUGGUGUAGCGGUGAAAUGCGUAGAUAUCAGGAGGAACACCGGUGGCGAAGGCGGCCUGCUGGACUGCAACUGGCGUUGAGGCCCGAAAGCGUGGGGAGCAAACAGGAUUAGAUACCCUAGUAC
rnacentral:rRNA from 1 species